AUAGUCUCUUUCUGCUCCUGCAGAUCAAGAUGCAGAACUCUCAGCUCCUUCUCCAGCACCAUGUCUGCCUGCAUGCUGCCAUGACGAUAAUGGACUAAACCUCUGAAACUACAUCUUGAAGGCAUUUUUUGAAGCUCGAGAUAGCUGGGUGACUUGCUUUGAUCACUGAACUGUGUCUGAAGAGGAUAAUAUCAUUAUGAACAGUGAUAAAGGAAGACCCAGGGAUCCAGUCACACAAUUUCUCCUGAAUCUGACAAGACAACACUCUCCCCACAUCCUGAGAAUGGCAGAGAGGAGCUGCACCAUGUGGCUAACAAGUUGUUCUUGGGGAGGCUGCACUCCUGGCUCCUCCUCAGCUUGCCUUCUCCUGCCUCAGUUUUUAGGGACCACCGCAGAGCCAACAGACUGAGGAGUUCUGCACUGCAGUGAAGGUUCCCACUUCUCUACACCCUGAACUUUAAGCAAUUAUUAAAUACUGUAAAAGAACUAUAGUCAGCUAAGUAAGAGCUGAGCACAAUGUCACCUUUGUUUGCAUACAGUUACUACUCUCAAAGACAUCAGAUAAUUUUACUUCAACUUCCUGUCAGGAUAGAUUGCACAUCCCAGGGAAGUAUUACCCAACACCUGGGAGGCAUAGGUAACUCUGCCAGUUGCAGGCCUGCCUGGUCUAUAUAGUCAGUUCCUGGCCAGCCACAUCCUUCCUUCAAUAAAAGAUAUACUAGAAAGA